rnacentral:rRNA from 1 species
UAAUAUUUUGUAAAAUAUAAUUAUUUUUAAUUUUAUAAAUUUUCAAUUUGUUUUUUAUUUGUUAAAAAAAAAAAAUAUUUUUAUUCUUAUAAUUAUUUAUAACUUGAUUUUUAAUUUAAUAGUGUAUUUUACUGUAGAGUAAAGUUUUAUAAUGUUAAAAGAAUAAAUUUAAGUUAUUACCUUUUGUAUCAGGGGAGAACAAAUUUUAUUUAUAUUUAUAUUUUCUCGAAAUUACAAUGAGCUAUAUAAAUAUAAAUUAUUAUUUUGUUGCAAUAAAAUAAGGUAUAUUUAUAUAGAGAUGAUAUGUUAUUCGUAUUUAAUGUUAUCUAGUUUUUAUUUUAAAAAUAAUUUUUUUUCUUAAGGAUAAGCUUAAGGGAUUUUAUAAUUCAUAAUGAUUUAUAAUUUAUAAGGAGUUGAGAGUGCUUUAUAUUUUAAAGUGUAAUAAUUAUUACUUAUAAUAAAAAUUUUAUUUAUUAGGGUAAAUUUUAUUUAAAACUAAUUAAAUAAGAAAAAAUGUUUUUAUUAGUAUAAAUAUUUUUAGACUAAAAAAUAAAAUUAAAUUUUAUUUAAGGAAUUCGGCAAAAUCUUUUUCGUCUGUUUAUCAAAAACAUAGCUUUUUGUUAAAAUAGAAAGUAGGGUCUGCCCGGUGAAAUUUUUAACGGCCGCAAUAUUUGUGCGAAGGUAGCAUAAUCAUUUGUCUUUUAAUUGAUGACUGGAAUGAAUGGCUGGACGGGGAUAAGCUGUCUUAUUUAUAUAUUUUUGAAAUUUACUUUUAAGUAAAAAGGCUUAAAUGUUUUAGAGGGACGAGAAGACCCUAUUGAGUUUAAUAGAGAGUAUCUUAAUUUUUCUUAAAUUUGGGGAUAUCUAUUUAGUUGGGGAGAUUUAAUAAUAUUAACUAUAUAAGAAUUAGUAGACAUUAAGUUUUUAGGAUCCAUAUUUUAUGAGUAUUAGGACAAAUUACCUUAGGGAUAACAGCGUAAUAUUUUUUAAGAGUCCAAAUCGAUUAAAAUGAUUACGACCUCGAUGUUGGAUUAAAGAACCUAAUUGGAGAAGAUUUUAAUUUAGGUAGUCUGUUCGACUAUUAAAUCUUUACAUGAUCUGAGUUCAGACCGGUGUAUACCAGGUCAGUUUUUAUCUUCUACAUUAUACUUAUAAUUUUUUUGUACGAAAGGACAAAAAA